GCGACCACGUUACCAAUGAGACCAUCGCUCUCAAGAAGAUUUUCCUUGAGCAGGAGGAUGAAGGCGUUCCUAGCACUGCAUUUCGCGAGAUUUCUCUCCUCAAGGAAAUGCAGCACAGGAAUACUGUUAGGUCUAUCCUUAUGUUGCCACUGGAAAUAAGAACUCUAAAUUUGGCAUUAGAAAUGAGAAGCUGCAGUGGUUUUUAGAUGCUAUAAAGGAGCAUUCUAAUGAGGUUAAGCUUGUAGGUGUCCACUGCCAUCUUGGGUCAACAAUUACCAAGGUAUAAAAUUAUUGGUUCGUAUACUGGUGUUAAGAUUUGUAGCUGGACCAAGUCACAGCUUCGAGGACGGUGUGGUUGCUACAAGCAUUCAUUCUAUGAUAAAAUGCAAGACACGGUAAUCAGCUGUCUUACCUCAUAUACGGUAUUAGAUUAAGUUAGACUAGGCAACUUCUUUUCUUGCAUAAAUGAUAACAAAAGAAAUGUGCUUAGUGUAUGUUUAUUUGCCAGAUUCUAGAAUCCAUCAUCGGUUAGCAUUCGUUAAGAGCUCAUGUCUCACACUUUAGUUGAAUUCACUUAACAGGAACAAGAUUUUAUUGUUAGCAUUUUCCAUUUUAAAUUAACUUUUUAAUUAACUAAAUUUCUUGAUGAAAUUUAAAGGCGAAAAUAAUUUACAAAAUUAUAUAAGAAACCUAAAUUGUUUAUUUUGGGAAUCUCCUUAUAUCACAACAAUAAAGUUUAAUUAUUCCAUGGAUUCUAAUAAUUUUAAAAUUGAAGGAAGUGCAAAUUUUAAUUUUGAAAAUUCGGCAUUCAUUAUAUAGCUUGCACUUUUUUAGAAUUGAAGGUGAGAAAGAGAGUAUCUUUUUAAGUAUUAUUCUUUUUCUUAGAAGUUUUUUUUUCUUUUCUUUUUCGUGCUUGCAUAAUAAAUAUCAUUUGUUUGCUUGAACUGAAUCUUGGGUUUGUUUGCUUGCUAUAAGUUUUAUUCCUGAACUGAAUCUUAUUAGUAUUUAUUUAAGUCUAGUUUUUUUUAUUCUAGGCUUUUAAUAUUUGUCUUCUCGCUGUUGUUGCCGUUGCCACCUCUCUUGGUUUGCUUCUGCUGCGGUACUGCUGUUGCUGUUAGGGCACAGAUUUAGUUUCUGGGUGCUAGGUGACUAUUUUUAUUUUAGUUUAAUUUUAAAAACUCCCACAGCUUCUAUAGAGGCAACUAAGCUAAUGAAUGUUAAGUUGUUAUUACUUAUUUGUUCUGUAAUAGAACCUCUAAAAUAAAAUCACAAGUGGAAUUUGUUUUACUAUAAUUUGUUCUUGUAGUGUACUGUUGACUGAAUUUGUACUGCUGAUUGCUUAACUAUAAUUUUUUCUAUGCUUUAUCUUCUCAUCUAUUUGUUGGCCUUGGCAAGUUUCCUGCCUCAUUCUACUUUUAGGCUUAAUAUGUACUGGUGAUUGCUUAAUUUGCUGCUUUGUCAUGAGUUUUUCUUUCAAUUUCCAUAGAUAAAUAGAAAGAAAUAAGUAUAUGUGUUUAAUUCAAUUAUUGCAGGAGCUGACAUUUUAUUUUUCUUAGUUUCUACAAAAAUAAAGUAUAUGUUGAAUUAGGAUAGGUAUGUGAUAGUGCUAGAUAAAAAAGUACCAAGGGGAGCAUAUGGUUGUGACCUUGUAUAGGGAUUAUUUCUUGUUUUUGAUUUGUGUUGAAUUAGGAUAGGUAUGUGAUGGCUGAAUAUGUAUUAUUGCAGGACCUAAUUAAAGUGGCCUUGCCAUUUUCAUAUUUAAUCAAUUUGGAUUUGGAAUUGGAUUUGUUGGACUUAAUUAAAGUAGCCUUUAUAACAUGCACUAACUUCAGGUUAUUUAAAAUUCUGUAGGGCAGUGAUAAAAAUAAUGGAGCUCAUAAUGGAUGAACACACUACUCAUGAAAUUUGAUAUUUUG